rnacentral:snRNA from 1 species
GUGCUCACUUUGGUAGCACAUACACUAAAAUAGGAACAAUGCAGAGAUUAGCAACGCCCCUGUGCAAGUAUGAGACAUAAAUUUAUAAAGUAUUGUAUU